rnacentral:rRNA from 1 species
UACGUAGGGUGCAAGCGUUGUCCGGAAUUAUUGGGCGUAAAGAGCUCGUAGGCGGUUCGUCACGUCGGCUGUGAAAUCCCGAGGCUCAACCUCGGGUCUGCAGUCGAUACGGGCGGACUGGAGUACUGCAGGGGAGACUGGAAUUCCUGGUGUAGCGGUGAAAUGCGUAGAUAUCAGAAGGAACAUCAGUGGCGAAAGCGGCUUCCUGGACCAGAACUGACG